GGAUUAGAUACCCGGGUAGUCCAUGCCGUAAACGUUGGGCACUAGAUGUGGGGGACAUUCCACGUUUUCCGCGUCGUAGCUAACGCAUUAAGUGCCCCGCCUGGGGAGUACGGCCGCAAGGCUAAAACUCAAAGGAAUUGACGGGGGCCCGCACAAGCGGCGGAGCAUGCGGAUUAAUUCGAUGCAACGCGAAGAACCUUACCAAGGCUUGACAUGUGCUAGAUCGCCGUAGAAAUACGGUUUCCCCUUUGGGGCUGGUUCACAGGUGGUGCAUGGUUGUCGUCAGCUCGUGUCGUGAGAUGUUGGGUUAAGUCCCGCAACGAGCGCAACCCUCGUUCCCAUGUUGCCAGCACGUAGUGGUGGGGACUCAUGGGAGACUGCCGGGGUCAAC
rnacentral:rRNA from 1 species